rnacentral:misc_RNA from 1 species
GAUGAAGAACGCAGCGAAACGCGAUAAGUAAUGUGAAUUGCAGAAUUUAGUGAAUCAUCGAACUUUUGAACGCACAUUGCGCCCCCUGGUAUUCCGGGGGGCAUGCCUGUUCGAGCGUCAUUUCACCACUCAAGCCUCGCUUGGUAUUGGGCAACGCGGUCCGCCGCGUGCCUCAAAUCGUCCGGCUGGGUCUUCUGUCCCCUAAGCGUUGUGGAAACUAUUCGCUAAAGGGUGUUCGGGAGGCUACGCCGUAAAACAACCCCAUUUCUAAGGUUGACCUCGGAUCAGGUAGGGAUACCCGCUGAACUUAAGCAUAUCAAUAAGCGGAGGA